AGCGGAGAGGAGGGCAAGCAGGGGGACUUAUUUCUUCUUUAGCUAAAUUAAAACAUUAAAUUUUAGUCUUUUUAGUUUUUUAUUAAAUAGAAUAAUUGCAUUUUUGGCCCUAUGAAAAGUUAAUAAUUUAAUCUAAGUUUUUUUUAUAAUACACAACUUUAGCCCGGGCCCAUGCAGAUUAAAUAAACAAAAAAAUAAAACCAAAUAAAAUAAAAUUCAGUCCAUUGUCCAUUUACACCCAAAAUAAACCCAAGAUCUUAGCCCAAUUACAUAAAUAAUUAAAACCCAAAUAACCUAAACCCUAGCCCAACAAGCAGCCCAAUACACCCAACAUUUUCAGCAGAGAGAAAAACAAAAAACCCUAGGUAGCCGCAAGCCUAACAGCAACCAAGUGCGCUGUCGUCGCCGCCAUUUACGCGCCACACCUCCACGUUGACUGGCCACGUACCUGCAAUUCAGCAAACAAGGAAGCAAGCAGCAAAAAGAAAGGGACUAAUAGCGAAAUGGAAGGAAAGAAAUAUUAUUAUUAUUUUUUAUAUAUCUAUUUUCCUUUUCGUUUUGGCUAUAAAAAGCCAAUUAAAAUCUAUAAUAGGGGGAAGACGCACAUAUUGUUUUAAGAAAUUACAAAAAGAAAAUGAAAAGGAAAGACUGAGUUUUUUUGUUGGAGGUGAUUUUUUAAAAGUUUUUCUUUUUUUUUCUGUUGUUCUGUUCUUUUUUUAUAUAAGUAUGAAACAAAAUAAAAAGGAGGGUGAUUUAGUUUCUUUUUCAUGUUUUCUUCUUUCUAUUUCGAUCUCUAUUUCAUGUCUUUGAAAUAAUAGUAAAAGAGGGGAGGAGUUGUUUACCUUUUGAUCGGCGGCGUCGUUGUGCUGUGUGGGAGAUGUUUGUAAACGGCGCAGAGAAAGGAAAGGAGCUAUUAAGUUUUUUCUCCUUUGCUUUCUAAUGGCCGAAUGAUUAGGGUUUUUUUAGAUUUAUGAUAAUUUUUGAAACAACACUGUUUGGACUUUAUGCCAAGGCUCAAUGGCUUAUUUUCACUUUUGGUCUUCCUGUUUUACAAUGUUUUUAAAUUACUUUUUUUAUUUCUUGUAAAUUUCGCAACGCAUUUUAUUAUUGUUUCAAUUUAGUCCAAUACUGUGCAGUGUUUUGGGAGGCUUGGGUAAAUUGCUCCUUCGUUCCUCCUCCUGUUGCGCGUGUUUUAAAUUGCUCUCUUUCUUGUUUUAUUUUUGAAUUCAUCCUUUAAAUUCUGUUUGUUUUCAACUUAAUCCUUAAUUUGUUAUUUUAAGUUUUUUUUUAUUAUAUUAUUAAUACUGUUUAUUAGUAUUAUUAUUACUAUAUUAUUAUUAGUUUUUUUAUUUAUUAUAUCAUAUAUUAUUAUACCUACAUAUAUAUAUAUGUGCAUAUGUAUGUUAAUAUAUAUAUGUUUAUUUUAAACGUUUUUAAAUACAUAUGCAUAUUAUGUAUAUAUUUUAUUAUUAUUUUAUUUUCAUAGUUUUUAUAUAUUUUAUAUACAUUUAUAUUUUAUAAUAUUUAUAUUUUCAUAUUUUAUAAUUUAUAUAUGUUUAUACAUUCUUUGUAAUAUAUAUAUGUACUUUUUAGAAUUAUCAUAAGUUUUUUGUUAUUAUUUUGUUUUGAUAUAUUUCAUGUUUUUAUAUAUGUAUACUUAUAUAUAUGCCUGUUUUAAUAUAUGCAUAUACAUGUUUUCAAAAUUUAUUUAUGUAUUAUACUUAUAUUUUGAAAAUACAUAUGUACAUAUAAUUUAAAUUAAAGUAUUUGUUACAUAUCGUAUUAACAUUUUUUUAACAUAUCUUUUAGAAAAUACAUAUUUUGGUUUUGGUAAAACAUUAAAAACAUUUUCUUUUGAUUCAAAGACUUUUAAAAUAAAAGCGAAAUUCAAAGUUCGGAAUUUUCGAGGAAAUUGAGCCCUAACGUAUUGGGUUCCGAUUUUUUUUGUUAAUCCUAAAUAACCGAGAAUAUUCUUUAUUUUACAUAAGUAUAAAAUCAUUUUCGGGAACUUAACUUAUUGCGUCCUAAUGUAUUGGGUGUAACAUAUUGCGUUCUCGAAAUGAAGAUUUUCUUAUAAAAUAAAAGCGAUAUUCAAAGUUCGGGGAUUUUGAGACAUUGUACCCUUCUUCGCAUGACUUGAACAUUUGAUUAUCCUUUUCAGAUUUCAUUAUUGGAGUUUUUUUUUUUAAAUCUUUUUAACCCUCGACACUAAGACGUUAAAUAAUUAAUUUGGUACCGAUUUUUGGACAUUACGAGGGUGCUAACCCUUCCUCGUGCGUAACUGACUUCCGAACUCGUUUUCUCAAAUUUCAUAGACCAGAAUAAUUUUUAAGGUGAGUCGAUCACACCUCAAUAAAGGAUCGGUGGCGGCUCUAAUUUUUGUUUUUUAAAGUCGAUAACUAAAGUUUUGUUUUCAAAAAAUAGUUUCAACAGCUUGACGACUCCGUUGGGGAAAAACACGAGAGUCGAGCCAAAAAUUGAUUAAUUUUUGUCUUAAUGUCGAAACUUUUUUGAGAUCCUUUUGCAUUCAUUAUUUUCUUGCUUAAUUGAUCUUUGCAUUAUACAUUGCAUGAGUUGAAUGAUUUUACCCCUCUAAGUGGGAGUGAGAAACUAGUCUUUCGUGAGGUUUUCACCUCCGUGCAGGAUAGUGGAUUGCUUUCGAGAUACAUUCGUACCUAUGUCUUCGUGAGAUUUUCAUUUCCGUGUAGCUAUAGGGAAGUGUAUCCCCCUGAACUGAACUCGAUCUGUAUGAGCCUAUAAUGGGUGAGGAUCAAGGAAUCUGCUGGUUCAGGUACCCUUACUUCAGAACCGAACCACAUAUAGAAGACCUUAGGAGCACACCCUAGGUAGAGCCACUUCAAAACCCUAGUGAUCACCCGAAUAGACGUUCUAUUUAUUCUUGCUUGCUUUUGCUUUGUACUAACCUGUUUCUUUUUUGUUAUAAUUGCAUUACAUUUUCAUCAUAAAAAAGUGGUGUUGAUUCACGUUCAGUUGCGAAAUAGAGAGCUUGUCAUAAGAAAAUGAGUUUCUUGAUAAAAUGGAAGACAAUAUGGUUGUCCGAAUAUGGUCCAAGAAAACGUGAUAAGAGAAGGAUGAUAGUUUAAUGGAGGACUACACGACUAUGGAUUCAAGAUGAAAAAGAUUAUUCGAGAGCCGCUGAACUUUCUUAAAGAGAAGCCAACGAGCAUCACGAGGAUGAGUGAGCAACGAGUUGCGGCCCGGAUCGAGCAAAAAGGAGAUAGAAGAGACAUCUUUUUGAAGAGUUCGUGAGAUUUAUCUUAACGCUCGAAGAAGAGGAUCGAAUGUCUCCGCCUAUGAGGGCAAGGCCGUAUAAAUAUCCAUUUUAUGUAAAGAGAUUUGUUUUCUAGUAAAGUUUUCUAAAUGGAAUUGAAUCAGAAUCAACGUCUCUUUAUGCAUUCAUUACAUGCAUUCGCAUUACAUGACAUUAUACGUAUUAAAGUCCACUAAAAGAGCCUAAUCGAUUAAAAUCAUUCCUCAGUUAACCUGGAAACCAACCAAUAAACUAAACACCGUUACGGUACUCGGGCGAAAUCAAGAAGUAUGGACCAAAGAUUAGAAAAGCUCGAACAAUUCCAAACAUAAAUGCAGGAUCAGCUUCAGCAGCAAAUGAAUGAGCAGCUCGAGAAGAUUCAGCAGAAUUUGAAGGAAAAAAUGAUGGAAUCUCAAGGGAAUAUGAUGGCUAAGUUGACUCAGUUGCUGACCGGAGAAAUUGAUAAAGGAAAAAACUCUGUGCUUAAUGUUGAAGAAGGAGACAGUGAGGGACCUGUCUAUCCUCCAGGCUUUACCCCUCAGCAAGUUGAGGAAUGUCCGCGUAAAUCCUCUGUCACCAUUAGGCCGCAGCAAUUUCAAGCUAGUGCUUCAAUGCCAAUGAAUUUUCAAGUUGGAUCAGGCUCUAAUCCGAGAGACAACCUUUCAAUACGGCUAUUCCUGACUUCGAUGAAACAGCGGGAAAAGAAAAAGUGAAGGAUGAGUUGCCAAAACAGCUAGAGGAAAAGUACAAAUGGCUGGAAGAGAAAUUUAAAACGAUGGAAUGUGCUGAGAGCUACUAUAGGAUUGAUGCUGAAGAAUUAAGCUUGGUUCCGGAUUUAGUACUCCCUUACAAGUUCAAAGUGCCAUAGUUUGAGAAGUAUAAUGGAACUAGUAGUCCCGAAGCCCAUAUUACUAUGUUUUGUAGGCGGAUAACUGGGUAUGUUAGUAAUGACCAGUUGUUGAUACAUUGUUUCCAGGAUAGCCUCACAGGGGCAGUGUCCAAGUGGUACAAUCAAUUAAGUCGUGCCAAGAUUAAUUCAUGGAAAGAUUUAGCACAGGCAUUCAUAAAGCAGUACAAUCAUGUAACUGACAUGGUACCUGAUAAAAUCACUCUACAAAACAUGGAAAAGAAGUCCGGUGAAAGUUUUAGGCAAUACGCACAGAGGUGGAGGGAGGUCGCCAUCCAAGUUCAGCCACCGCUCCUGGAAAGGGAAAUGACAAUGCUAUUCAUAAAUACAUUGAAAGCUCCGUUCAUCACAUAUAUGUUAGGGAGUGCCACAAAAAUAUUUUCUAACAUAAUCAUGAAUGGUGAAAUGAUUGAAAGCGCCAUAAGGAGCGGAAAGAUUGAUGCUGGAGGAAAUAAUAGAAGGCAAGCCUCAAAAGAAAAAGAAAAUGAUGUGAACAGCGUGAAUAUGUACAGUAAAUCGAUUGCUAAUCAGUAGGGUUCAUCAAGACAAGAAUCAUGUGUGAAGCAAGGUACUGAAAAACUCCAGUUCACGCUAAUUCCAAUGUCGUACAAAGAGCUGUAUCAAAGCUUAUUCGAUGUGCAUGUUGUUUCUCCUUUACAUGUGAAGCCUCCACAGCCUCCGUAUCCCAAAUGGUACAACGCAACUGCACAAUGCGAUUAUUAUGCGGGAAUUACAGGACACUCAAUAGAGAAUUGCAUUACCUUCAAAAAGUUAGUUGAAAAAUUCAUCAACAUGGGUAUUGUCAAGUUGGAUGGCUCAUUUAAUGCAGAAAAUUCGCUACCCAAUCAUGAUUGACAAUGGAGUGAAUGCAAUAUAUGAGGAGAUAUUGGGAAGUGUUCACAUCAAUGACAUAUAGGGAGACACAAAUGAAAGGGGGACCUUGUUAGAUAUCCGCCCUUAUAAAUCUGGGAGUGUUCUAAGUAAUUGAACUGCGGAAGAAAUCCCUAUAAUUUUUAGAGCUUAUUUAGAGUAAUGUUCAGAACAUUUUUGUUGUUUUUAGCCUAAAAAUGAUAGAAAUUCCUUUGUGAAAUAGGCUCAUGUCUGAACGUCGUUAUUCUAAUAAAAUACAUCUUUGCAUUCAUUUUUGAGCCAAUAUUUUUUCAUUCUUUUUGAAAUAAUUAUUUUUUCAUUCUUUUGGAUUUUCUUCCAUGUCAUUAUUUCAUUUAUAAUUAUAUUGUACAAAUAGUUAUUCAUAAAUACAUUCUUUUGUAUAUUCUUUUAUAUUGGGUCUCCAGAUAUCAAUAACAUGAGUGACGCUGCUACAGGCUCAGAAUUUUCUUUUGAGCGAAGCAUGUGUUUAGAGGGAUUUCAUGACUUUGAAGAUAACAUAGAUUGUAGCCUAUUUUCGGACUUGUUAAAGAUGGUAGAACAAGUCGAGAAACGGAUCUUACCCUACAAAGAAUCAUUGGGAUACAUGACUUCUCAUUAUAUAGGGCAUGAAGGUUAUUUGGUCGAUCUUGUCAAAAGAGUCUGACGGCCAUUGAUUCAUCUUUGUGAUCGUCAGUUACUUUACUAAAUAAAUAGAAGCUGCUUCAUAUGCCAAUGUCACAAAGUCGACAGUUAACAAAUUCGUGAAAAAUCAUAUGUCAGUAUGGGACGCCAAAAGGAUUAUAUCUGACAAUGUACUAAAUUUGAACAACAGCAUAAUAUCAAAAGUUUGCAGUUUGUUCACGAUUAAUGCCAUAUUGCCUAAAAAAAUAUGGCGCGAAAAAAAAAACUCUGCCAGGGUAAUGCCUUUCUCUUGGGCCCAUCGCGGUUUUGCCUAUUGAAGACAAAAUUCUUUCUGAGUUUUUGAAUCCAAUUCCGAUUGAAGAGGAAUGUUCAAAGUUGUCCAUCAUGGUCAAAUGAGCCAAAAGCAAAUGAUGCAAGUUCACAAAAAAGAUCCAUCCUAGAGAAUUCCUUGAGAGGAACCUGGUAUUGAAAAAGAUCCUUCCCAUACAAAAAGAACUUCAUCCCAAGCUGGGAAGGACCUUAUGUGGAAGGCCUUAUUUAGAAAAGCGUCGAUUUUGAUCAAAAAGGAUAACAAGGACAUGCAUAAUCCUAUGAGUUCAGAUUCAAUCAAAAAUAUUUCAAAAUAUAAAAAAAAACAAAAAAAAAUAGAGAGAAAAGAAGAAAGAAAAUGGAGAGGCCAAGAUGAAAACCCGCAAAGGGCGCCUUGAAACCAAAGGGGAUUUGAGUUGAAAACCCGAAAAGGGCAGCUCAAAUAUUGAUUAGAAUGGGGCAUGAGAUGAUCAGAGCAGUUCAAAUUUUGAUCAGAUUGGGGCAUAUGAUGAUCUUGAAUCAAUAAGAAAGGGUAAACAACAUCUUAGGACAUCGACAGAGUACUGUAGAUCUCCUAAACACAUGUCAAACUCAGAAAGUUUGUAUAAAGAAGUUCAAGCUGCGAUAUCUGGAGCAUCCAAUUUUUAUAUUGAAUUUGCUAUUCUUGGAAUAAUUCAUGCUUUUCCAAUAUACACAUUCCCAAUCAAUUUCUUUGUUAUCCUUAUUUACUAUUUUUUUGAUAAUCUAUUCCUUUCGAGCUAUGCUCAGAACCAAUUGUAUUCUCAUCCAUUGUUAUACCCUUUUUGUAAGUAUGUUGCAUUGGAAUAAUGAUUAAUAGACUAAUAAAACUUUCACAAGGGAAGUUUGGCAUAUUACUCUAGAAGUUUCUAAAUAAUACAGGAACCUGAAACAGAAUUAUUGUUUAGAACGCACCAUGUUUAAAGGUUGGAAAUCUGAAAAAGAAGAGUCUAAAUUAAGACUUUCUCUUUGGAUUUUGUUGUUAAAAACAUUGACUGAACAAAAUGACAAAGCUUAAAUAAACAACUAAGCAAUGAUCACCCUGACAUUGCAGUGGAGUAGAUUGAAGCACCAGUUCUUAUACCUCUGAAGAUGCAGUAGGAAGGAAUGAAGCUACUUGAAGAAGAAGAGUACCAAGGUCCAGCACGACCGAUCAAAAUUGGUUAUUUUUAAAGUCUUUACUUCAUUCCCGUUUCACGACAACAAACAAAGAGGGACAGCUGUAAUACCCAAUUUUAGCCUGGGCGCAUGCAAAUUAAAUAAAAAAAUAAAACCAAAUAAAAUAAAAUUCAGUCCAUUGUCCAUUUACACCCAAAAUAAACCCAAGAUCUUAGCCCAAUUACAUAAAUAAUUAAAACCCAAAUAACCUAAACCCUAGCCCAACAAGCAGCCCAAUACACCCAACAUUUUCAGCAGAGAAAAAAACAAAAAACCCUAGGUAGCCGCAAGCCUAACAGCAACCAAGUGUGCUGUCGUCGCCGCCAUUUACGCGCUACACCUACACGUUGACUGGCCACGUACCUGCAAUUCAGCAAAUAAGGAAGCAAACAGCAAAAAGAAAGGGACUAAUAGAAAAAUGGAAGGAAAGAAAUAUUAUUAUUAUUUAUAUAUCUAUUUUCCUUUUCGUUUUGGCUAUAAAAAGCCAAUUAAAAUCUGUAACAGGGGGAAGACCCGCAUAUUGUAUCAAGAAAUUACAAAAAGAAAAUGAAAAGGAAAGACUGAAUUUUUUUUUCAGAUCUGAUUUUUUUUAAAGUUUUUUUUUUCUGUUGUUCUGUUCUUUUUUUUAUAUAAGUAUGAAACAAAAUAAAAAGGAGGGUGAUUUAGUUUUUUUUUUUUUUGAGUUUUCUUCUUUCUGUUUCGAUCUCUAUUUCAUGUCUUUGAAAUAAUAGUAAGAGAGGGGAGGAGUUGUUUACCUUUUGAUCGGCGGCGUCGUUGUGCUGUGUGGGAGAUGUUUGUAAACGGCGCAGAGAAAGGAAAUGAGCUAUUAAGUUUUUUCUCCUUUGCUUUCUAAUGGCCGAAUGAUUAAGGUUUUUUUAGAUUUAUGAUAAUUUUUAAAACAACACCGUUUGGACUUUAUGCCAAGGCUCAAUGGCUUAUUUGCACUUUUGGUCCUCCUGUUUUACAAUGUUUUUAAAUUACUUUUUUUAUUUCUUGUAAAUUUCGCAACGCAUUUUAUUAUUGUUUCAAUUUAGUCCAAUGUUGUGCAGUGUUUUGGGAGGCUUGGGUAAAUUGCUCCUUCGGUCCUCCUCCUGUUGCGCGUGUUUUAAAUUGCUCUCUUUCUUGUUUUAUUUUUGAAUUCAUCCUUUAAAUUCUGUUUGUUUUCAACUUAAUCCUUAAUUUGUUAUUUUAGGUUUUUUUUAUUAUAUUAUUAAUACUGUUUAUUAGUAUUAUUAUUACUAUAUUAUUAUUAGUUUUUUUUAUUUAUUAUAUCAUAUAUUAUUAUACCUACAUAUAUAUAUAUGUGCAUAUGUAUGUUAAUAUAUAUAUGUAUAUUUUAAACGUUUUUAAAUACAUAUGCAUAUUAUGUAUAUAUUUUAUUAUUAUUUUAUUUUCAUAGUUUUUAUAUAUUUUAUAUACAUUUAUAUUUUAUAAUAUUUAUAUUUUCAUAUUUUAUAAUUUAUAUAUGUUUAUACAUUCUUUGUAAUAUAUAUAUAUAUGUACUUUUUAGAAUUAUCAUAAGUUUUUUGUUAUUAUUUUUUUUUUGGCAUAUUUCAUGUUUUUAUAUAUGUAUACUUAUAUAUAUGCCUGUUUUAAUAUAUGCAUAUACAUGUUUUCAAAAUUUAUUUAUGUAUUAUACUUAUAUUUUGAAAAUACAUAUGUACAUAUAAUUUAAAUUAAAGUAUUUGUUUCAUAUCGCAUUAACAUUUUUUUAACAUAUCUUUUAGAAAAUACAUAUUUUGGUUUUGGUAAAACAUUAAAAUCAUUUUCUUUUGAUUCAAAGACUUUUAAAAUAAAAGCGAUAUUCAAAGUUCGGGAUUUUCGAGGAAAUUAAGCCCUAACGUAUUGGGUUUCGAUUUUCUUUGUUAAUCCUAAAUAACCGAGAAUAUUCUUUAUUUUACAUAAGUAUAAAAAUCAUUUUCGAGAACUUAACUUGUUGCGUCCGAAUGUAUUGGGCGUAACAUAUUGCCUUCUCGAAAUGAAGAUUUUCUUAUAAAAUAAAAGCGAUAUUCAAAGUUCGGGGAUUUUGAGAAAUUGUACCCUAACGUAUUGGGUCUCGAUUUCUUCGCAUGAUUUGAAUUUUUGAUUAUCCUUUUCAGAUUUCAUUAUUGGAGUUUGUUUUUUAAAAAAAAUCUUUUUAACCCUCAACACUAAGACAUUAAAUAAUCAAUUUGGUACUGAUUUUUGGGCGUUACGAGGGUUCUAACCCUUCCUCGUGCGUAACUGACUCCCGAACUCGUUUUCUCAAAUUUCGUAGACCAGAAUAAUUUUUAAGGUGGGCAAAUCACACCUCAAUAAAGGAUCGGUGGCGACUCCAAUUUUUGUUUUUUAAAGUCGAUAACUAAAUUUUUGUUUUCAAAAAAUGGUUUCGACAUUUUUUAACACACUUUUUUAGCAUUAGACCCUCCAAAAUUUCAUAAUUUUAUCUUAAUCCCCUAAAUAAAAUUUCUAACUUUAUCCUUGCUUAAUAAUGCGAAAAUUGGAUGUAGGUUAAUUAGUUGAAUGGACUUAAUUUAAGUUGUUCAAUUUAGCAAGUGUAAUAGUUUAUUUUAAUUAAAACUGUUGGUAUGAUUAAUUAAUUAAUUGUAAUUAAAAAAAUUCCAUUCUAAAAAAUUAGGGAUAAUAUAAGUUCCUCUAAACUUGGCAACUAGUCCACUUUGGUAUCUGUACUUUUUUUUUAUCUUUGAAUUUGACAACUAGAUCCAUUUUGGUCUUUGAACUUGGAUUCUGUAAAGAUUUAAUGAUGUACCUAGUGUUAUUGGAAUAAGAUCGGAUUAGACAAACCAAGAACUAAUCAAUAUAAUGGUAUGAGCAAAAAGGUUGAAUCGAUUGGCUCGAAAAAAAAUUAAAUUUGGUAAAAAUAAAAAAAAUGAACAAAAAUAAAGAGUUGAACCGGUUUAAUAUUUUUUUCAUUUUUUUUAGAUUUUUGUGAAUUUUUAAUUAUUUAUUUAGUUAUUGUUGGCUCAACAAUCAAGCCGGUCAAACUGGUUGAAUCAAGAACCAUUGGUCUAACCUAUUUAACCACAGUUUUAUUAAAACAUUGAAUGUGAUACUUUGAUAUGGUACCACAUGAUCACCUUAAAAUUUAUAUAAAUUUUUUUAAUUUUCAAGUGAUUAUGUAGAACCUCAUCAAACUUUUAUAGGCUCUAAGUUUAAGGGUAACCAAAAUGGACCUAGUUGUCAAAUUCAAGCACCAAAGUAAAUUAAAAAAAUAUAUAAAUAUCAAAAUGGACCUAAUUAUUAAACUUAGGGGCCAAAAUUCAUAUUACCCAAAAAAAAUAUAAAAAGUAUUUGUGGAUCUAAUGCCCUAAUAAGUCCUGUUUCAUAAAAUAGAAAAGAAAAGAAAAAAAACUCCAAGAUGGGCAAAAUUUAUUUGUCUAUGUCUGAAUUUGGGGCUUUUUAGCUAAUUAAUACCCAACGAAAUAUGCAGAAACGGACUACCAAAAUAGUGACAACACCAAAUGCAACUAUCAUGUAUAACUAUUGGUACGAGGUAUUCAUGAUGAAACUCAAUUGAGUUUACAGGUAGUUAUAUGAAAAUAUAUUUUUAUCUAAGCUUGGUUUGAUUUAAAAUCUUGUUAAACAUCAUUAUAUUUGGGUAAAUUACACAUAAAAGCCCUAUUUUUUUAAAAUUUACCAAAAUGGACCCGAUAAAUAAUUAUUUACCGAAAUGGGCCCAUUUUCCCGAAAGCGCGUCCACGUCAGCGCGAUGUCAGAGUACAUGACAGGAAAACGCGUCUCUGAUGGAGCAUUUUGCCUGUUUUGGGGUUUUAAGGUUUAAGGUUUUAACCUUUAGGGUUUAAGGUUUUAAGGUUUAGGGUUUAUGGUUAAAAAUUAAAUAAAUAAAGGUUUUAGGGUUUAAGGUAGAGGUGUUCACAGGCCGGGCAGGGCCUGGUUCAGGCCGGGCCCAAAAAAAUUUGGCCCGCUUCUUAGCCCGGCCCAAAAUAUGGGCCUAAAAUUUUGUCCAGGCCCAAUGCGAGAAAAAAUUUCUAAGCCCGAGCCCAGCCCGCCCCAACCUAUUUUUUUAGUAAAAACCCAAAAAAUUAUUUUAAAUAUAAAAAGAAUAAAAAAGUAUUUUAAAAACAUUUUAAAAUUAAAGAAUAAAAAAUACUUAUUUAUUAUAUAUUCGGGUCGUGCCGUGCCGGGCUCGAGCCAAAAAAGUGGUGCCCGAGGCCCGGCCCGUUUUCUAAACGGCCUCGCUUUUUUGCCCAAACCCAUAUUUCGGGCCUAUAUUUUUACCCAAACCCUCCCAUAUUUUUUGCCCGGCCUAUGAACACCUCUAGUUUAGGGUUUGUCAAUUAAAUUAUUUAUAAAUUUUUCAUAAUUGGAUUAGUUUUCGUGUUUAUUUUUAAAAAAAAUCACUUAAAUUAGGGUUUAGAGUUACUUGAGUAAUUUAAUUAAAAAAUUUUAAAAAUUAGAUUAGGGUUAGGGUUUAGGGUGUUUUUAAGUUAAGGGUUUUUAAGGAAAAAUCAAAUAAAUUAGUGUUUAGAGUUUAGGGUUUGUCAAUUAAAUUAUUUAUAAUUUUUUCAAAAUUGGAUUAGUUUUCGUGUUUAUUAUCUUUUAUGAAAAAAUCAAUUAAAUUAGGGUUUAAGGUUACUUGAGUAAUUUAAUUAAAAAAAUAAAAAUUAGAUUAAGGUUAGGGUUAGGAUUAAGGUUAAGGUUAGGGUUAAGGUUUAGGGUGUUUUUAAGUUAAGGGUUUUUAAGGAAAAAUAAAUAAAUUAGGGUUUAGAGUUUAGGGUUUGUCAAUUAAAUUAUUUAUAAAUAUUCGUAGCCAAAAUUGGAUUAGUUUUCAUGUUUAUUAUUUUUUAAGAAAAAUCAAUUAAAUUAGGGUUUAGGGCUACUUGAAUAAUUUAAUUAAAAAAAUUUUAAAAAUUAGAUUAGAAUUAGGGUUAGGGUCAGGGUUUAGGGUGUUUUUAAGUAAAGUUUAUAUGUCAUAAAAAAUUCUGAACAAAGUAAAGCAUUUUACAAGAAUAAUUUUUCGCUUUCAAAGUAAAUUUUGUUCUUUUCUUGCAAAUUGUUAUCUAAUAGGUCCAUCAAUUGAGUUUACCGAUUGACUAUAAAUAAGGUAAAAUUUUCCCUCAGAUCGCAUAAGUUAAAACAAAAAAAAUUUAAAGAGGCUAAAAAGGAUAGAAAUUGAAGAUAAGUGAACAUAUUAGUGUUGUUAUUUACUAUGAUGGUGAGGUUUGCUACACUGAGAAUGGUGUUAUUUUUUUGUCGGAGAAUACAGUGCGACUGGUUUUUAACCAGAACAUAGAUUUGACAGAACUUCGUAAAAGAAUUAGGCGUAAAAUAUUCGAAACGACGCCAAUGAAAGUUCUGUCUAUUACGUAUCGAUUUUGUCCUUCAGUUGAUCCGGUGACAUAUGACUCGUUCUACAUAAGAGGUGCUCGUAGCUUGGAGGCAAUGGUGUAGACUCAUCUCGCUCGUGGAGCACCGUAUAUUAAGUUAUACGUACAAUUUACAUCACCAAAUGGUGCAGUUGCGACUAGUGUUUGAGAGGUAUACGCGACCCAUGCCCGACACUCGGUUAGUGCAUUACAAAACUCGGAGCAGCCCAUGUUUGGUAGCGGUGUGGAAUACACAACCCCUGCACGACACUCUGUCGGUGGAUGGGAUAUGCACCUCGGUGGGUCGAUGUUUGAUGCUAAAAAUACAUACUAGGGAACAGCAUCAACUUCUACUAGUUGGCAAUAUACAUCCAAUUUGGGACAUUAUGAAACGCCCAGAAAAAGGGAUGAUGUACUCCCUACGACGUCCACCGGUGAGAGGACCUCGUACGUUGCAGAUGAUGGUAGGUUAGAAGAUGACUCUAAUGUGCAGAAGUUGGAUUAUUUUAUGAACCGGAACCUAUUCCAACCGAACCUGAAGAUGUUGAAGGGGGUUCAGAUGAAGAAAAAGAUCCACGAUUCAGGGCAUACUCACCUCCAACCCACAUGCAUAAUGUCAAUCUGUCUGCAGAUGAUGCGUUAGAGUUUCCAGACCUACCACACCGGUUGCGUGAUCGUACAAGUUCGGUACUGGAUUCGGGUGAAUUUGAAGUUGGUAAUCAGUUUUCUAACAAGAAUAGUUUUAUUUGUGCUUUGAAACAACAUAGCAUCAAUAACGGCGAAAACUACCACGUCGUUAAGUCCAAAACCGAUAAGUUUGAGGCGAAGUGUGCAGUGCAAGAUUGUACUUGUUCAUGGAAAAUCUACGCCUCGUUAAGGAAAAACACAGGGUUGUGAGAGAUUAAAAAGUACAAAGGUUCACAUACAUGUGUUGCAGGUACAGUAUUUAGGGUUUUUGAAUAAUACUGUUAUUAUAUAAUGUUGCAUUAUUUAAUGUACUCCAUUUAUAGGUAUUUCACAAGAUCAUCCCAAGAUGGAUUCAGCUAUGUUAGCUAGCUUAAUAUUGCCCACGGUGAAGGCAGAUCCUAAUACUUCUUUCUAUCUAGGUUAAGGAGGCAUGUGUGCCCCCAACCUGAUAUCUGUGUUAUUUGGGAUCGGGCACCGGCAUACUAGCUGCAAUUGAUCAACAAGGAAGCUUAUGGCAGCGCACACAUCAUCGGUAUUGCCUAAGGCACGUUGCUUCCAACUACUACAGGCAAUAUCCAUCUAAGAUUGAACGACAACAAGUGACCAACAUGGGUAUUUAGUCUCUAUUAAUAUAAUUUCGUUUAUCAUUUUAAAUUUAUUCUAAUUGAAAGAGUGGUAUGUAAUAUUCGCUAUGAACUUAUAUUGGCAGGGUAUGAAAUAAAUAAAGAUCGUUUUCAUGAGAUGUUGGCAGUUUUGCAUUCAAUUAACGGCGAAGGUGUGGACUACCUUUGCAACAUACCUUUCGAACAGUAAGCAUAAGCAUACGACGACAGCCUACGAUAUGGUCAUAUGACCUCAAACCUAGCUGAAUGCAUAAAUUUUGUUCUAAAAGGAACUCGCCAUCUACUGAUAACAUUGGUUGUGCUAGAGACAUAUUUUCGUUUAGUGGUGCUAUUAUUAAAGUGAGCAGAGAGUUAUGCAAGCCAGAUGCGGGGAGGUCAUUAUCGGUGUUGGGACGAUGAGCCACCUUGAUAGAAUAGUGACUGUGGAGGUGUUUGCAUCACCAACGGUGAAGCUGUUUGAAACCCAUAUGGUGAUGGAGAUUGGUAAAAAGAAGAGCUCCCCGAUGGCCCCUCCUACGAUCCCUCGUGCUACGCUGGCAUAUACAUUGACGAUCCACUCGGCGUAACGAAAAAUGGAGAUGAACCGAGCCAUAGAAUCCAACCUGUCAUAGGACUCGGAAAAGGAAACAUAUAAGGGUUAGGAUACAUAAAAGGGUUAGGAUACGCACUUGGCAUCAUCGAAAAAGGCUGUUUCAUGGGCAUUAUCAGUUGAACUGCUGGGUCAGGUGACUGUGUCGGUGCUCUCGCUGGGCAUGAGGAUUGAAUGGCCGCUGAUGACGGGCCAUGUGAAUGUGUGGGCCUCGUUGAUGGGCCUGCGUCGUCGUCCCUUUGUAUUGCAUUUAAAGGCCCACGCCAUUCCCUUUAGACACGUAAUUGCCGCUGCCUCUCCUCUGUCUACAGUAAAUAUGGCUUCCUAUGGAUCCUAAACUAUGACAUGUAUUUCGACACGCAUACUAACUCAGAAACGAUGAUCGGUUCCCGAUUAGGUAUAUAAUCAUACCGAUCUUCCCACAUUUGGAUAUAGUACGACCAGAAUCUCGGUCAGUCCGUAUGCAAUUACCGUAGGUCAAUUUUGUGAUGAUCAUCAAACACCUCAAGUCCUACGGGAAUCGGUUGUCUACAUCCAAAUUGCCGUAAUACUUUGUCUGACUGGUGUAUCUCCACGGUCGCAUAGUUGACCAAUGCAACUUUCACAUGCCAAGCGUUUGGAUUUUGGAGGUAUUCAUCUGGAAUUACUGCCCGAAUUGUCGGAUCCUUGUAUGGUGUCCAUUGAAACUAUAUAAACAUGAUGCGUAUAUUAGUUAUAUACAUAGUACAUAAUACUAAAUACUAAAUACCAAUCGACUAGCUCAUGAUGAAAAUAUCAAUUUUAUUUAAUACUUACUUGUGCUUUCGACUGUUGGUCUAAUAGAAGCCGUAUAUCUUCAAGAGAGGUAGGUAAUCGAGCAUAACUUGCCGGAUGGUUCCACCUAAUUAAAUAAAUUUUUAGCAUACUAUUAUUUUUAAAAUCUACGUAAUAAUUAUAAAAUCUAAUAUAAAAUUUACCUCGUUAUGAGUGAGAAUGUAUAUGGGUGGUCCACUCGAGGACGUAAAAAUAGAAAGCGAAACCGUGCCCAUGACUGCAGUAGUGACAGGCAACCUCCGAUUUUCACUUUACCUGAUCGCGUCGCCCCCCACAUCUCCCUUUAUAAUGUCGCCAACACGGCAGAACCCCAACUCAAUUCACCAGGUGAUCUAAAAUCAACGAGUUUCAGCAGCCAUCUUAGAUGUACGAGGUUCCGUAACAAGUCCGGCAUCAGAUAACCUCCAAUUAUCUGAAGAAUGUAUGCCCGAGCAUAUCAGAUUCUUUCUACUUUAGUUGAAUCAUCAUCCGAAUCUGAAAAUGUGUCUCGUAACCAGCCCAUCUCGAUCCGACCUCCGUUAAUUUUCUCCGGAAUAGCGCCUAAAAGUGAUAGUGCACUCUCCACAUGGAAGAUGAAAUGUGUGCGUCUCGGGUCUCCACCUCUCAAUCAACGCACUGAUAAGUUUCAGGCCCAACUUGCAUCCCCGGCCUACCAUCGUCACGUGCCAAAAACCCGCUUCCCGCAGGUAAUUCUCUACCAACGGUGAUGGAGGACCAUGCAUAUUAUGGAUAUAUCAUUCCAAUAUCUGAUCUACAUACUUUUAUAAAAAAAUAAUAAAUUAAUAAUUAUUUAAAAAUGCAUAAAUAAAAAAAUCUUAAAUAAUAUUUAAAAAAUAAAUUUAACCCUUACCAUUUUCAUUUGUUCGACGGAUAUGUACUUGUUAUCAAGACGAAUCAAUUCUUCGGCCAUUGCUAAAUUCGUACAAAUUUUUAGGAUUAAAAAAAUAAAAAAAUAGAAUUUUUUAAAAAUAAUUAAAAAAUAGGGAUUUAAGAGAAAUUUGAGAGGAAAUUAAGCAAAUUGAGAUUAAAUAUGGAUUUAAGAGAAAUUUGGAAGCAAAUUGAGAGCAAUUUGAGAGGAAAUUGAGAUGUUGUUGAGAGAAUAAUAGAUAAAUGAUUAAUUUGUGAAAAAAAAUGAAGGGGUGGGGGUUUUUAUAGUUUUUUUUACCGUUGGGGGGUUCACCAACGGUCAAAAAAAGUCGUUGCACUGUUCACGCGCGGGGAAAACGCGUCCCCAGGGACGUGCUGACGUGGCAGGAAAAAACGUCCACGUCAGCGUGCUUUCUGUCCACGUCGACAAAGCGCGCCCUUGAGGACGCGUUUUCCUGUCACAUACCCUGACAUCGCGCUGACGUGGACGCGUUUUCCCGGUAUGGGCCCAUUCUGGUAAAUAAUUAUUUACCAGGACCAUUUCGAUAAAUUUUAAAAAAAUAGGGAUUUUUUUGUAAUUUGCCCAUUAUAUUUAGGUUUAAAGGUAAAAAAAUCCCUCAAAUUUAAAAAUAAAAUAAAAUAAAGCCCUUUUUUUCACUCAAUUGAGUACUUGAACUUUUAAAUGUAUCAAAAAGGUCCUCCAAUUUCUUCAACGAAAAGUAAUUAAGCCAUUGCUCUUUUUUUUCACUCAAUUGGGUACUUGAACUUUCAAAAUGCAUCAAAAAGACUCUCAAAAUUUUUCAAAAAAGCAAUUAAGCCCCUGCUCUUAUUAAAAAUUAGAAAAAUUAUUAAAUAAUAAAUCUUAGAAAAAUUAUUAAAUUUUAAUAAAAACAUAAAAAUUAGUUAAAAAUCGUAAAAAAUAAAAAAUUGUAAAAUUUUAUAAAAAAAUCAUAAAAAAAUUAACUACCCCUUGUCUUUUUUAAUUAAAGUCAUCACUUGUAGCAACACAGCGUGACAUUUGACAGAAAAUGAUAAAAAAAUAAAAAUUAAUAAAAAUUAUAGAAAAAUUAUAAAAUGCUUCUUUCGAUACUAUAAUUUUUAUAAAAAAAAUUACGAAAAUUAUAUUUCUUUACAUUUUGUAUAAUUUUCUUACGACUUUAUAAAAUUUUAUAAUUUUUUAUAUUUCUAUAUUUUUUUAUAAUUUUUUACGAUUUUUAUAAAAUUUUACAAUUUUUUAUAUUUUUUAACGAUUUUUAUAUAUUUUUCUAGUUUUUAAUAACUUUUUAAUAUUUGAAUUUUUUAACUAAAAUUUAAUAAUAUUUAUGGAUUUUAUUGAUUUUAAAUUUUUAUAACUUUUUUUUUCUAAUUUUUAAUAAAAGCAUGGGCUUAAUUGCUUUUUUUGAAAAACUUUGAGGGUCUUUUUGAUGCAUUUUGAAAGUUGAAGGACCCAAUUGAGUGCAAAAAAAACUAGGGGCCUAAUUGUUUUUUUUAAAAAGGUUUGAGAGUCUUUUUGAUGCAUUUUGAAAGUUCAAGUACCAAAAUGAGUGUAAAAAAAAAGGGCUUAUUUAAUUUUUUUUUUUUGAAAAAGUUCGAAGACUUCUUGCACCCUUAAGCCUCAUAUUUAUAAAUGAUUAAUCUAAACUCAUUUUAGGUCUAUACAUAUAUAUUUUAAUUUUUAAAAUAUAUAUUAUAUUAUUUUUAAAUUAUAUAUAUUCGUUUAUUACAAUUUUAUAUGUAGAUAACUUCACAUUUUUUAUUAAUUACACUUUAAUAUUAUAUAUAACUAUAUUUUUUGUGUUAUAAAUUAUGUAAUAUGUAAAAUUAUUAUAAUAUAAUAUAUUACAAAAUUAAAAAACAGUCGAAUCAUAUUUUAAAUAGAUCUAAUAUUUUUAUUCAAAUUCAUUUUUAAAUAUAAUAUUUUUGCACAAACUUUCGAAAUUCGAAAAAAACCUAACCAUUGUUAACUAACAUUGCGGCAACUCCAUCAUAUAACGUAUUAUUCGAAAUUCUCAAUUUCUUUUUAUCAAUCGCAUGAUAAAAAGUAUUUCUAACAACAAAGAAAAUAUUUCAACCAAAAAUAUUUUUUAAAGAUUUUGUUUAAAACUAAUAUUUUAUUCGUACCAUUUUUUUAAAUAAUAUUAUUUAUUACCCUACUUGAAGUGCAAGUAAUAUUAGUUACGUAUAAUAAUUACAGGUAGUUUAAAUUUACCUACAAUAUAGACAAUAUUAGGUUUUUUUUUUCUUGAUUCAUUUUAGGUAAAAAAUAUAUGAUAAAAGUCGAUGAAAUCAAAACUUGUAUGUUGACCUGAUGGUUAGGAUGUUCACCGCUUUAGAUAUGACUUGAAUUCGAGUCGCGUUAGUUGUGUUGCUGUUAAGGCUUUACUUUCUCUUAUAAUUUAAAAAAAUAAAAAAAAUAAAAACCCUAUCGGAAAUAUACUCAAACAAGUGGACUACUUGGACUGUUGAUUUUAUUAUAAUAUUUGAAUUGUUUUCAUGAAAAAGAACAUUUAAAAUUCAUGCCGCGCAAUUAAUAGGUAAACUACAAAAAUAGUCACUUAGAUUGCAUUUUAGUUAUUUGUAUUUGAAAUGUUAUGUUUUAGCCACUUAUGCUAUUGUUUUGUUACGAUGUGUUCAUUCUAUCAUUAAGCUCCGUUACCUCCCUAACGGUGAUCCUAUAUGGAAAUUCAUAUGAGUUUUAAAUGCCAACUUGGAUGUCUUACGUGCCAAUCCAAAUGAAAUAUAUUUAAUUAAAAACUUAUUUUCAUCCCAGCAACUAAACAUCUAAGUUGACAUUUAAAACUCAUUUGGAUUGCCACGUAGGACUGUCGUUAAGGAGGUAACGGAGUUUAACAGUAGAGUGACCGCUUCGUAACAAAACGAUAACUUAAGUGACUAAAAUGUAAUCUGAGGCAAACAAAAAUGACUACUUUUGUAGUUUACUCAUAAUUAAUUUGAUAAUUAUAUAAAAAUGCUGGAAAAUGUUAACUUUUUUUUGGUUGAGAAAAAUAUUAAUUACUAAGAGAAAAAAAGAUAUUAAUUUGUUAACCCGCCAAAAAACUUUCUGGUGGGUUUAGUGGUUAAUUAUUAUGGAAUGAAUGUUGUUUGGAGUAGUGUUUCUUAAUCGUUAUGGCUUGACCUCUCUUCAAAGCCAAGCUCUUUUGCUUGGUACUAGACCUGUCCAUGGGUCGGGCGGCCCGGCCCGACCUGACGGCCCGCCUGAAAUAUGGGAGGGUUCGGGUAAAAAUAUAGGUUCGAAAUAUGGGUUUUGGCAAAAAAAUGGGCCGGGCCUCGAGCACCACUUUUUUGGUUCGGGCCCGGCCCGGCCCGAAUAUAAUAAAAUAUUUUUUUAUUUUUUAAUUUUAAAAUACUUUUAAAAUAUUUUUUUAUUUUUUUAUUUUUAAAAUAUUUUUUUAAUGUUUAUUAAAAAUGGGCCAGGCCUGGGCAAAAUUUCAGGCCCAUAUUUCGAGUCGGGCCAGGCCCGGGCCUAGGAGGCGGGCCGAAAAUUUUUUCGGGCCCAUGAACAGGUCUACUUGGUACUUUCUGUAUAAAUUCAAUGAUUUGGUAACAAAUUUUCUCAUAUAUGGUUAGGAUGUGGUAGAUAUCUUUUGAUAAAUAUAGUUCUAGUUAUACUAUGAAUCCGCUUCUGAAGUUUAAAUCUUUAAAUUAUUAGUAAUAUUUUAGUCUCCCUAAUCCAAAAUUAGGGGUUUUAACUCAGAUUUUCUUAUAUUCAACUUCAACCAAUGUAUGCUUCUAAGUUAUAACUCUCUUUCAUCAAUGGAAGUUUUAUUUUAUAAACAUAUAUAUAUUAUUUUGUUAUUUUCAGAUUAAUUCUAUUUUUUUAAUACAAUGCCUAUAAUUAUCCGUAGCCCUUCCCCAACCUAUAUAAAUAGGAGUAGGGGUGAACAAAAUUUGAUUCGAUUCGAAAAAAUUGAAAAAAAAUUCAAAAUUUGAGUUAUUCGAAUUAUUUGAGUCAACUAAAAUAACUCAAUUCGAGUUUUGAGUUCGAGUCGAGUUGAAUUUCACAAUUCGAAUAACUCGAAUAAUCCAAAUAAUAAAUUGGUGUAAAUACCCUUUUGAUCCCUGUCAACUUUGAAAAUAAACAAAUUGGUCUCUCUCACAACAAAAGUUAGAAAAAAAAUUCAAAAUAUUUAUAAAAUUUCAAAUUUUAUAUUUUAUAAAAAAUUAUAAAAAUUAUAAAAAAUUAAAAAAUAUAAAAAAAAUUGAAAAUUUUAAAAAAAAUUCUAAAAUAAUAAUUUUAGGACCUAAUUAAUGAUUCAAAUUUUCAAGUAUCUUAUUUUUUUUUUAUUUUGCUUUGAAUUUUUUUUAAAUUUAUGUGCUCUAACAUGAAAUUAGUUAUAUUGUAACUGUAAUACCCAAUUUUAGCCCGGGCUCGCAUAUGGAAACAUAAUUUUUGAGGAUAUGCAAUCUUAGAUAUGAUAUGCAAUCCUAGAUAUGAUAUGCAAUCUUAGAUAUGAUAUAUAAUCUUAGAUAUGAUAUGCAAUCUUAGAAUAUAUGAUUUUGUAAUCUUAGAGAUUUAAUUUGUAGAUACCCUUUAAUCUCAGCCGUUGAUGUAAUUGAUCUGUACAGUUGGAUUUAGGGAGACUCAACUAUAAAUAGAGGCCUCUCCCUUCAUUGUUGAAAGAAAAGGAGGAAGAGGAAUAAAAAAGAGAACGAUUGGCAGUUUUUUAAAGGUGGCUUACUAUUUUUUUUCUUCCGAUUAUUAUUUUUAUUUACGAUUUUAAAAAGGCGGAGAAGGUGAUACCACUGCGAAUUAUAUUUAUUUAUUUUAUUUAGCCCCUCCGCCUUUUAAUGUUUUUGUAAUUAAGUUUUUUUUUCUUAAUUUACCCUUUUAUUUAUUUUUAUUUCAAUUGGGUCUAAGUUGAACGGCGUCGUUUUAGAGGAGAAGGGAAAAUUUCCCUUCCAGCCCCUCUAUGUAAUUCGCGCAUUCAAAUUAAUCCUUUUACUUUUAUUUAUUUGCAGAUUUACCCCUAUUUUUUUACUUCCGACCCAAUUUAGUCCUUUCUCAUAUUUUUCUUAAAAUCAGUAUUUCUAAUUUUUUUUAUGAAAUUAUUAUUAUAUGUAUAUAUAUAAAUAUGUUUCUUUUGCAUGUAUUUACACCUUAAAAAAACUAAUAUUUUUCGUAUAUUUUAGACACAUGUUUUAUUAAUUUUGAUAUUAUCUUAAUUAUUUUAAACUUAUAUAUUUUCAUGGAUGUAUGUAUAUUUUUUUUAUUUAUUUCAGUUAUUUGUCUAUUAAUUUAUGUUUACAUAUAUUUUUUAUUAUCUUGUCCAUUUAUUUGAUAUUUUGCAGGCCAUUAUUUUACUUAUUUGUUCAUAUAUUUGCAUUAUUUCUAUACUAUCGUAGUAUUUAUUAUUGCAUUAUAUAUUUAAUGUAGCAUAACAUUACAUUUUUUACUCGAUUUUUAAAAUCAAACUUUUUCAAAAUGGAUAUUCUUUUAAUUAAAAUAAAAACUCAUUAUUGGGAAUUCAACACGUUGUGUCCUAACGUAUUGGAUGUGACGCAUUGAUUUCUCGAAAUAAAGAUUUUUUUAAAAAUCAUGAAGGAAAUAUUCCGAGUUUGAGAUUCUAAAGGAAUUGUGCCCUAACGUAUUGGGUGUGAUUUCUUAAAUCUUCGAUAAGUGGAUGUUCUUUUAAAGUAAAGGAAAUAUUCCGAGUUUAGGAUUCUAAAGGGAUCGUGCCCUAACGUAUUGGGUGUGAUUUCUUAAAUCUUGGAUGAGUGGAUGUUCUUUUAAAGUUUUAUUGUAUAAGUAUUCUGAUCUAAUUCAUUUUGGGGGAAAUUAGAAUGUUGUGCCCUAACGUAUUGGGUGUGGCAUUUUUGCUUCUCUAAAUUGAAAAGGGUCUUAAUAUGCAACGUUUUAAGUUUUUAAAGAUUAUAUUUUUAAAAUUUUCGACCUUAAGACAUUAAUUAAUUAACUAUGUACCAAUUUUUGGGCAUAAUGAGGGUGCUAAUCCUUCCUCAUGCGUAACCGACUCCCGGACCCGUUCUUCUAAAAUUCGUAGACCAAAGUCGUUUUUAGGUGACCCAAUCACACCUUAAUAAAAGAUUGGUGGCGACUCCCAACUUUCAUUUUCUUUUUUUUUAAGUCGACAACCUAAAAUUUUUUGUUUUAAAAAAAAAAUGGUUUCGACAGCUUGGCGACUCCGCUGGGGAAUUUUUUAAGAGAGUCGACCCACAAAGUUGAUUAAUUUUUAUCUUAUGGUCGAGAAAAUAUUUAAAAAAAACUCAUGACAUCCUUUUGCAUUCAUUAUCUUCUUGUUUAAAUAUUGUUUGCAUUAUACAUUUCAUGAGUUGAACAAUGUUACCCUUUUAAGUGGGAGUGAGAAACUAUACCUUCGUGAGGUUUUACCUCCGUGUAGGGUAGUGGAUUGCUUUCGGGAUACAUCCGUACCUAUGUCUUCGUGAGAUUUUUCAUCUCCGUGCAGCCAUAGGGAAAUGUAUUCCCCUGAAUUGAACUCGAUCCAUAUGAGCCUAUAAUGGGUGAGGAUUGAGGAAUCUGCUGGUUCAGGUACCUUUACUCUAGAAGCCAAACUUCAUAUAAUGAACCUUAGGAAUCCACCCUAGGUAGAAUUAUAUUAUACCCUAGUAGAUAUCCAAUUAGGGAUCUUUACUAUUUCUUGAUUAUAUCUUGUGUUUCUAUGUUAUACUGACUUUUGGUGUUUUAUUUGCAUGACAUGGCAUUUCAUUUCACGCAUUGCAUUGUUUCAUAUGCAUUAAUAAAUAUAUUAAGGGAUUCUAAUUAAUCUAAAUUACUCAUCAGUUAAUCUGGAAACCAAUCAAGCUAUCAAACACUGCUACGAAACUCGAUCCAAAACUAGAGACAUGGACCAAAGGCUAGAACAGUUCCAGAAAGAAAUGCAAGAGCAAAUGAAUGAGCAAUUAGAAAAGAUUCAACAAAAGAUGAUGGAAAAGAUAAUGGAAUCUCAAGGGAGUAUGAUGGCUAAGUUGACUCAGUUAUUGGCUGGAGGAGUUGACAAAGGAAAGGGAUUGGUGCUCAACAAUAAAGAAUGUGACAAUGAGGGACUUGUCUAUCCUCUGAACUUUACACCCCAACAAGUUGAGAUAUACCCGCGUAGGUCCUCUGUUACCAUUAAUCCUCCGGGUGAUGCUGCAACGCAAAUGAAUUUCAAGAUGGGAUCAGGCUCUAACCCUGGUGCCAAUUUUGUUAAUCCUGCUAUUCCUGAUUUUGAUGAGAUGACUAGAAAGGAAAAAAUGAAUGAGGAAUUAUCAAAACAGCUCGAGGAAAGGUAUAAAUGGUUGGAGGAAAAACUUAAAGUGAUAGAAGGUACUGAGAGCUACCACGGAAUUGAUGCUAGAGAAUUGAGCUUGGUUCCAGGUCUGGUACUUCCUCACAAGUUCAAAACACCAGAGUUCGAGAAGUAUAAUGGAACCAGUAGCCCCGAAGCACAUAUUACUAUGUUCUGCAGGAGGAUGAUUGGAUAUGUUAAUAAUGACCAAUUGCUGAUACAUUGCUUCCAGGAUAGCCUCACGGGGGCAGCAUCCAGGUGGUACAAUCGAUUGAACCGUACCCAAAUUAAUUCAUGGAGAGAUCUAGCGCAGGCAUUCUUGAAACAGUACAGCCAUGUGACUGACAUGGUACCUGAUAGAAUUACUCUGCAGAACAUGGAGAAGAAGCCUGGUGAAAGUUUCAGGCAGUACGCACAGAGAUGGAAGGAGGUUGCUGUCCAAGUUCAGCCAUCUCUUCUAGAAAGAGAGAUGACGAUACUUUUCGUUAAUACAUUGAAAGCCUCAUUCAUCACACAUAUGUUAGGGAGUGCAACAAAAAGCUUUUCUGACAAAAUCAUGAAUGGUGAAAUGAUUGAAAGCGCCAUAAGGAGCGGAAAGAUUGAUACUGGAGGAAAUAACAGAAGGCAAGCCUCAAAAGAAAAGGGAAAUGAGGUAAACAUCGUGAAUACGUACGACAAAUCGAUUGCUAAUCAACAGGGUUCAUCAAGACAAGAAUUAGGUGUGAAGCCAGGUACUGAAAAGCUCCAGUUCACGCCAAUUCCAAUGUCGUACAAGGAGCUGUAUCAAAGCUUAUUCAAUGCGCAUGUUGUUGCUCCUUUACAUGUGAAGCCUCCACAGCCCCCGUAUCCCAAAUGGUAUGAUGCAAGUGCACAAUGUGAUUAUCAUGCAGGAAUUACUGGGCAUUCCAUAGAAAAUUGCAUUACCUUCAAAAAGCUAGUUGAAAAAUUCAUCAACAUGGGUAUUGUCAAGAUAGAUGGUUCAUCUAGUACCCAGUCAUGAUUGAAUAUGAAAGGGUGUCGAGAAGUGUUCACGAUGAAACAACUGAAGAAGAGACCUUGUCAGAUUUUUGCCCUUAUAGACUUAGGAGUGUUUUAAAUAAUUUGACUGCAGAAGAAGCCCCUGUAGUAUUUAGAGAUUACUCAGAGUAAUGUUCAAAACACACUUGUUGCCUUCAGCCUAGAGGCAAUAAGAAUUAAUUUAUGAAAUAGGCUCAUGUCUGAACGUCGUUAUUCUAAUAAAAUACAUCUUUGCAUUUAUUUUUUUAAGCCAAUAUUCUUUUCGAAUAAUUAUACUUUCAUUCUUUCGGAUCUUCUUCCAUAUUAUUCUUUUAUUCAUCCAUAAUUGUACAAAUGAUUAUUCAUACAUUCUUUUGUAUAUUCUUUGGUAUUUACUGUGGGUCCCCAGAUAUCAAUGACAUGAGUGAUGCUGUUACGGACUGAGAAGUUCCUUUUGAGUGGGAUUUGUGUUUAGAGGGAUCUCAUUACUUUAAAGAUGACACAGAUUGUAGCCUAUUUUUAGACUUGCUGAGGAUGGUAGAACAGGAAUGAAAUCUUACUUCAUGAGGGGAGAAUGGAGAUUGUGACUUUAAGAUUGCGUGCAUAACCGAAGAAAUGAAGCAUGACCUUGUUGAGUUACUUCAAAGAGUUCAAAGAUGUCUUCAUAUGGUUAUAUCAGGAUAUGCUUGAGUAAACACCGACAUUGUAAUUGGAACAACAAUACGAUAUCAAGAAUUUAUAGUAUGUUCAAGAUUAAUAUCAUGAACAAUGCAUUUAGAAUUCUUUAUCGGGGCAAUGCCUUCUCCUUUGGCUCAUCAUGGUUUAGCCUGUCGAAGUCAAGUUGCCAUUUCUCCGUUGUUGGAUUUCAUCCUAAUUGAAGAGGAAGAUCCAAAGUUUUCGUCAUAAUUAAAUUUUGCCCAAAAGGCUCUAUGAAAGAAAUUUGAUCACAAAGAAGAUCUUACAUCGGUGCUGAUCGAAAGGGAUAACGAGAACUUAUCUAAUCCUAUGAGUUCAGAUUAAAAAAAAACAAAAAACAAAAACAAAAACAAAAAAUGAAAGUGAAAGAAAAAAGAAAAAAAAAUGGAGAGGCCAAAGUGAAAACCCGCAAAAGGCACUUUGAGACCAAAGGGGAUUUAAGUUGAAAACCCGAAAAGGGCGGCUCAAAUAUUGAUCAGAAUGGGACACGAUGUGAUUAAAGCAACUCAAAGUUUAACCAGAUUGGGGCAUGUGGUGAUCUUGUUAUACCUGAAUUAUUAGGAAAAGGUAGGCAACAUCUUGGGGCAUUGGCAGAGUACUGUGGAUCACCUAAACACAUGUCAAACUCAGAAGGAUCUUUAAAAAGUUUGUACAGAGAAGUUCAAGCUGCGAUAUCUGGGGCACCCAAUAUUCAUACUGAAUUUUUUAUUCUUGGAAUACUUCAUUCUUUUCCAAGAUACACAUUCCCAAUCAAUUUCUUUGCUAUCAUUGUUUACUAUUUUUGAUAAUCUAUUCCUUUCGAGCUAUGCUCAGAACCAAUUGUAUUCUCAUCCAUUGUUAUACCCUUUUUGCAAGCAUGUUACAUUAGAAUAAUAAUUAAUGGACUAAUGAAACUUUCACGAAGGAGGUUUUGCAUAUUACUCUAGGAGUUUCUAAAUAAUACAAGAGCCUGAAACAGGACUAUUAUUUAGAACGCACCGAGUUUAAAGGUUGGAAAUCUGAAAAGGAACAGUCUAAACUAGGACUUUCUUUUUAGAUUUUGCUGUCAAAAACAUUGGAUGUCGUGUUGAUGACAAAGCCUAAAUCAAACAAGCAAGUAAUGAUCACCAGGAGGUUACCUCGGGGAAGAGAGCCUUUAUUUGCGCAUGAGCCUUUGGUACGAUACCCUGGGAAUAGUGUAAAGGACCAUAAAGAUUUGGAUCAUGUAUCCUUGAAUUGUGAUAGGAAAGGAUUGAAGAAAGCCACGUAUUUUAGUGGGAGAACGAUGGUAUGAAUUUUUGCGCCCCAAUGGAUUAAACUUGAAGGGCAACCUGACUAAAGGUUUAUUCAGAAAAGCCAGUCAAGUAAGAAGGCGUUGUAGCACGUUAGUCACAAAGCCUUAAUAAACUUCGAGUAAUGACAACCUAAACAGGAUCAUUCUCGGAAAAAUAAAAUUUUGUAUUCAUGCAUUUGAUGCAUUUUGAUCAUGCCAUUCUAAUCAUUAGGCAUAAUUAAGUUCAUUAUACAGGUCAUGCUCCCCAGAGAACAGAUCAGUGAAAGAACAGAUCUUGUCUUCCUGCAUCGACAGCGAAGCAGAUCGAAAACAAAACCUUGCCUUUCUCGUUUGUAGUCGAGCAGAUCGAAGAUGGUGGAUUUUACCUCCCUGUGGUUAUAGUGGAGUACAUUGAAGCCAGUAAUUCUACUUCCCUGGGCAGCAGUAGAAUAGAUUGAAGAUUUCAGAUCUUAUCUCCCUAAGCAGUAGUGGAGUAGAUCGAAGAUGGCGGAUUUUACCUCCCUGUGGUUAUAGUGGAGUACAUUGAAGUCAGUAAUUCUACUUCUCUGGGCAGUAGUGGAAUAGAUUAAAGAUAGCAGAUCUUGCCUUCCUGCAUUGACAGCGAAACAGAUCGAAGAUGGCGGAUUUUACCUCCCUGUGGUUAUAGUGGAGUACAUUGAAGCCAAUAAUUCUACUUCCCUGGGUAGCAGUGGAAUAGAUUGAAGAUUUCAGAUCUUAUCUCCCUAAGCAGUAGUGGAGCAGAUCGAAGAUGACGGAUUUUACCUCCCUGUGGUUAUAGUGGAGUACAUUGAAGCCAGUAAUUCUACUUCCUUGGGCAACAGUGGAAUAGAUUGAAGAUUUCAGAUCUUAUCUCCAUAAGCAGUAGUGGAGCAGAUCGAAUAUGGUGGAUUUUACCUCCUUGUGGUUACAGUGGAGUACAUUGAAGUCAGUAAUUCUAUCUCCCUGGUCAGCAGUGGAAUAGGUUGAAGAUUGUAAGUCUUAUCUCCCUGCAGUUGCAGUGGAAUAGAUUGAAGCACUAGCUCCUAUACUUCUGAAGAUGCAGUAGGAAGGAAUGAGGCUGCUUGAAGAAGAAGAGUUUCAUGUUCCAGCAAGACCGGGCAAAAUUGGGCAUUUUUAAAGUCUUUGCUCCGUUCCUGUUACACGACAACGAGCAAAGAGGGGCAGCUGUAAUACCCAAUUUUAGCCCGGGCUCGCAUAUGGAAACAUAAUUUUUGAGGAUAUGCAAUCUUAGAUAUGAUAUGCAAUCCUAGAUAUGAUAUGCAAUCUUAGAUAUGAUAUAUAAUCUUAGAUAUGAUAUGCAAUCUUAGAAUAUAUGAUUUUGUAAUCUUAGAGAUUUAAUUUGUAGAUACCCUUUAAUCUCAGCCGUUGAUGUAAUUGAUCUGUACCAUUGGAUUUGGGGAGGCUCAACUAUAAAUAGAGGCCUCUCCCUUCAUUGUUGAAAGAAAAGGAGGAAGAUGAAUAAAAAAGAGAACGAUUGGCAGUUUUUUAAAGGUGACUUACUAUUUUUUUUCUUCCGAUUAUUAUUUUUUAUUUACGAUUUUAAAAAGGCGGAGAAGGUGAUACCACUGCGAAUUAUAUUUAUUUAUUUUAUUUAGCCCCUCCGCCUUUUAAUGUUUUUGUAAUUAAGUUUUUUUUUUCUUAAUUUACCCUUUUAUUUAUUUUUAUUUCAAUUGGGUCUAAGUUGAACGGCGUCGUUUUAGAGGAGAAGGGAAAAUUUCCCUUCCAGCCCCUCUAUGUAAUUCACGCGUUCAAAUUAAUCCUUUUACUUUUAUUUAUUUACGGAUUUACCCCUAUUUUUUACUUCCGACCCAAUUUAGUCCUUUCUCAUAUUUUUCUUAAAAUCAGUAUUUCUAAUUUUUUUAUGAAAUUAUUAUUAUAUGUAUAUAUAAAUAUGUUUCUUUUGCAUGUAUUUACACCUUAAAAAAACUAAUAUUUUUCGUAUAUUUUAGACACAUGUUUUAUUAAUUUUGAUAUUAUCUUAAUUAUUUUAAACUUAUAUAUUUUCAUGGAUGUAUGUAUAUUUUUUUUUCAGUUAUUUGUCUAUUAAUUUAUGUUUACAUAUAUUUUUUAUUAUCUUGUCCAUUUAUUUGAUAUUUUGCAGGCCAUUAUUUUACUUAUUUGUUCAUAUAUUUGCAUUAUUUCUAUGCCAUCGUAGUAUUUAUUAUUGCAUUAUAUAUUUAAUAUAGCAUAACAUUAUAUUUUUUACUCGAUUUUUAAAAUCAAACUUUUUCAAAAUGGAUAUUCUUUUAAUUAAAAUAAAAACUCAUUAUUGGGAAUUCAACACGUUGUGUCCUAACGUAUUGGAUGUGACGCAUUGAUUUCUCGAAAUGAAGAUUUUUUUUAAAAAUCAUGAAGGAAAUAUUCCGAGUUUGAGAUUCUAAAGGAAUUGUGCCCUAACGUAUUGGGUGUGAUUUCUUAAAUCUUGGAUAAGUGGAUGUUCUUUUAAAGUAAAUGAAAUAUUCCGAGUUUAGGAUUCUAAAGGGAUCGUGCCCUAACGUAUUGGGUGUGAUUUCUUAAAUCUUGGAUGAGUGGAUGUUCUUUUAAAGUUUUAUUGUAUAAGUAUUCUGAUCUAAUUCAUUUUGGGGGAAAUUAGAAUGUUGUGCCCUAACGUAUUGGGUGUGGCAUUUUUGCUUCUCUAAAUUGAAAAGGGUCUUAAUAUGCAACGUUUUAAGUUUUUAAAGAUUAUAUUUUUAAAAUUUUCGACCUUAAGACAUUAAUUAAUUAACUAUGUACCAAUUUUUGGGCGUAAUGAGGGUGCUAAUCCUUCCUCAUGCGUAACCGACUCCCGGACCCGUUCUUCUAAAAUUCGUAGACCAAAGUCGUUUUUAGGUGACCCAAUCACACCUUAAUAAAAGAUUGGUGGCGACUCCCAACUUUCAUUUUCUUUUUUUUUAAGGCGACAACCUAAAAUUUUUUGUUUUCAAAAAAAAUGGUUUCGACAGUAACAAUGUUUUUAUUUGACAUGUUUAAUUUUUUUUAAUUUAACUCGAACAAUUUCACUUUAUUCAAAAAAUUUUCAAAUUAUGUUAGGAUGAUAAAAUAGGAUUUGUGAACUCAAAAUUUUUUUACUUGAUUUGAUCAAACGCUCACCCUUAAAUAGGAGGAUAUUGCGCUUUAGCGCACUCAAACCCAUGUUCUCCUACAUAAGCAACAAUACUCAUGUCAAUUAAGCUAAUACUCAAACAUCAAUUCUAUUAUUUAUUUUCAUUUUAAAAUGAUAACAAUAAUAAAAAUUGGACGUAAAUCUCUUUUUGUUUAAAGAAUUACAAACGGUGAAAUCUUAAUAAAUAAAUAAAAUGUGUCAGUGGUAACAUGGGACUUUUGCACUUUCAAAAACAUCACUCCUUCCCACCUUUUUUAUGAAAAUAAAAAUUAUUUUAACUAAUGUUAUGUGACAUAUUACUGCGCCCAUAAAUAAAAUUCAGAAUUAAAAACUAAAAUAUUCAAGUGAUUAAUAUAUUUUUUUUCCUUAAAGGCAACAUGUGGGCAUGGCAUGUAAUGAUCAAAAAGUUGAGUCCCAUUACAUUACAUUACCAAUUGCCAUUGUUUAGCCCAAAGUUUCCACCUUUAUAAAUACCAUACAAUUCCCCUUCAUUAGCCUUUGUACCAUAAACAAUAACCCACUUUCAAUUUCAGAAAAACGAAAAUGGGUAUUGGCAGCCUCACAUUGCCUUCACCACCUCAAUUCGUUAUCCUCUCCCUUCUUCUCUUGUGUGCUUUUGGUGAAGCCGUUGAUCCAUUUGCUUGUGACCCGAAAGAUGCGGUGACGGCUGGUUUUCCUUUUUGCAAGGUUUCGAUGCCGAUGUCGGAUAGAGUGAAUGACCUUGUAGGGAGGUUGACGUUGCAAGAAAAAGUAAGGUUGUUGAUAAACGGUGCGGCACCAAUUCCACGGUUGGGGAUCGAAGGGUAUGAAUGGUGGUCGGAAGCUCUUCAUGGGGUCUCUGAUGUGGGUCCUGGGACUAAGUUCGGUGGGGCAUUCCCUGGUGCUACUAGCUUCCCUCAAGUAAUCUCGACUGCUGCUUCUUUCAAUGCUACGUUAUGGGAAGCUAUUGGACGAGUAAGUUCUUUUUUUUUUUUUGUCAUCUUAAAGAUUAAAAAAAUUAAAAUAAUAUUGUUGAUUACUUUUCACUCUAUCUUAAGUAGUGAUAUCUAUAUAUUUAUAUGAUAUAAAUAUUAUUAAUUGAUAUGACAUGUUAAGUAAAUUUUAUAUAUAUAUACGUAUUUAUAAGAUCUUAUACAUAUAUAAUUUUACAAAAAAAUAAACUCAACCUGUAAAUUCAUUACAAUUCAACUCAAUUCAAUUAAGUUUUAGACCGGUAAUGAUAAUUAUAUUUAAUUGGACUUUUAUAUCAUUGGGUAUAUGUAGAAUUAUUUUAGGGAAAAAAGGUGACAAGUGGAUUGAAUGAUAGUUUUAUGAGCCAUUGAGAAGUUAACUUUGUAUGACAUAGCCUCUACUAUUAGACUGGUAGAUAUGUCAGUUUUGUCAACUGUGGAUUUAAAAAAUUGCAGUAUGCUUCAUUUCUUUUUAUAUUUCAUUAUACUUCGACAGAUAGUCAUACCUCAGCAUUAUUAGAUGAAGUAAUGUUAUCCAUAAAGCUAUCAUCAUCUUCUAAAUUUGAUGAUUAAGUCUUAAUUUAAUUAGUGUGUAUUAUUAUCUAUAUAAGAAGAUGUAAAUUUAAAUAUGUUAAAGUGUAUUAUCUUUCUAUUUAUGAAUUAAGAGUUAUAAAUAAUUUUAAACAUUACGUUAAAAAGAACAAAUAUAAUCAUAUACUAAAUUUUUAAAUAUGUAUUAGAUAUUUGUGUUUCACACUUGAUACAAAUAGAUUAAAGAUUAUAAACGUACUGGCUAGCUUUAUGCUUUUCUUGAACUCCAAGACAAAGAAGGUAAGAUCCAUGUCUCGCAAUUUGCUCAUUUCACAGUGUUAUGAUUGGUUCACAAAAUCAUCAAGUGGAAUCAUUAUUAUUGGAUAGCAUUCCAGGCAACUUGCAAGCGUAAUUUUACCACAAAAAUAAUAUAAAUAAUUAAUGUGUUUUAUGGGAUGGGCGGCGGCAGGUGGUGUCGGAUGAGGCAAGGGCUAUGUACAACGGUGGAUCAGCUGGACUCACGUAUUGGAGCCCGAAUGUCAACAUAUUUAGGGACCCACGGUGGGGCCGUGGACAGGAGACGCCUGGUGAAGAUCCGGUUCUGGCCGGUACAUAUGCAGCCUAUUACGUGAAGGGAUUACAGGGAAAUGACGGUGAUAGGUUGAAAGUGGCGGCGUGUUGUAAGCACUUCACUGCCUAUGAUCUCGAUAACUGGAAUGGUGUUGAUAGGUUCCACUUUAAUGCUCAGGUCAGUUCACUUUUUGGUAAAAUCUGAUAAAAGGUCCCUCUUGCAAAACUAUAAGGGCAAGGAUUAAAGUGAUCCAUUUAAUUGAUAAGAUUCUUACAAUAUAAGGAUCUGUGAAGCAAUUUUACUGUUAAGCUUUUUUACUAGGAUAUGUACUUUAUUAGUUUUCUAACUUUCAUAUGAUAUUGAUGGGUGUAGUGCAAUUAUGGGACUGGGGGUAUGGAUAUUGUAAAUAGUGACCAUUAAUUUUUAGUGAUAAGAUCACCUUGGAAAUUGUAGCCGUAGUUUUGAAGAUGUAGGUGAAUGGGGCCAAACUUGGGAUUUUACCAGCUGGAAUAAUCAAUUUUCUCCUCAACCACCUUGUUUCAUUUUUGUUUUAUUUAUUUAUUUUAAUUUAAUUUUUACUAAUAUUGUUAAAUUUUAAAUUGAAACGGGAUGAAACGGAAAUGAAUGUAUCUAAUACCUACGGAGAUGAUGAUGAUUUUCAAUAUUAUAAUUCAUUAAUAAAACGAAAUAAAUGGUGGAGUAAAACGUAGCAUUUAUAACGCAAUAAGAUCAUGAAUUUAAAUAAAGAAAGCUGAAAUAUGGACCACAAAGGAUGGCAUAUUCUCGACUGUCUAAAUUAAAUCUUUGUCUGAUAUCAUUUAAAUAUAUUAAAUCUUUUUAUCCAAAUGCUCUGCUUUUGUCCGGUUCCUUCCAGAAAAAAAUUUCAGACAAUGAAACAAAGGGAAAGAUUUAUAAUAAUAAAAUAAGACAGGCUUGUUCGAUUCUCACGUGGGUUCUCACACGUUUAUGCAGGUAAGCAAACAAGACAUAGAGGACACAUUUGAUGUACCCUUCAAAAUGUGUGUACAAGAUGGCAAUGUAGCCAGUGUUAUGUGCUCUUACAAUGAAGUUAAUGGUGUCCCUACCUGUGCCGAUCCUAAUCUCCUGCGAAACACGGUACGAGGUCAAUGGAAACUCGAUGGGUAAGUCAACCAUUUUAAGACAGAUCAGUUUAAUGAUCCCUGUUUUUCAUGUUGGUCUGGUUUUUACAGGUACAUUGUUUCAGACUGUGAUUCAGUUGGUGUGUUUUAUAAUACCCAACAUUACACAACAACACCGGAACAAGCAGCUGCUGAUGCCAUUAAAGCUGGUUUGGAUUUGGAUUGUGGACCAUUUUUGGCACAACAUAGUGAAGAUGCUGUGAAGCAAGGGUUGUUGAAUGAGGUUGAUAUUAAUAAUGCUUUAGUUAACACCCUUAGAGUUCAAAUGAGACUCGGUAUGUUCGACGGUGAGCCGUCUGUGCAACCGUUUGGGAAGUUAGGACCGAAAGACGUGUGCACUCCUUCGAACCAAGAGCUAGCGUUGGAAGCUGCGAGACAGGGGAUUGUUUUGCUUAAAAACAGCGGUGUUUCGUUGCCUUUGUCUCAUCGACGUCACCGAACGGUUGCCGUUAUCGGGCCUAAUUCCGAUGCUACUGUUAGCAUGAUUGGAAACUAUGCGGGUACACCAUUAUGAUAAUGAUUUUGUUUCCUUUUGUUGUUAAUGGGAUAUGGACAAUUGAACUUAUGUAUUAAUGUUUAAUGAUUAGGUGUUGCUUGUGGAUACACUUCUCCUUUGC
rnacentral:lncRNA from 1 species